GAUGAACGCUGGCGGCGUGCCUAAUACAUGCAAGUCGAGCGAACAGAUGAGGAGCUUGCUCCUCUGACGUUAGCGGCGGACGGGUGAGUAACACGUGGAUAACCUACCUAUAAGACUGGGAUAACUUCGGGAAACCGGAGCUAAUACCGGAUAAUAUAUUGAACCGCAUGGUUCAAUAGUGAAAGACGGUUUUGCUGUCACUUAUAGAUGGAUCCGCGCCGCAUUAGCUAGUUGGUAAGGUAACGGCUUACCAAGGCAACGAUGCGUAGCCGACCUGAGAGGGUGAUCGGCCACACUGGAACUGAGACACGGUCCAGACUCCUACGGGAGGCAGCAGUAGGGAAUCUUCCGCAAAGGGCGAAAGCCUGACGGAGCAACACCGCGUGAGUGAUGAAGGUCUUCGGAUCGUAAAACUCUGUUAUUAGGGAAGAACAAAUGUGUAAGUAACUAUGCACGUCUUGACGGUACCUAAUCAGAAAGCCACGGCUAACUACGUG
rnacentral:rRNA from 1 species